UCUUUUCAAAAAAUGCCAGCUUACUGCUCGUGAGCAGCAUCUGUAUGAUGAACAGGCAGCUCUGCAUUUGCAAGGUCUCAUUCAUCUAGUUCCAGUCAGACACGCAACCAAUUUAAUUCACUGAGAGCUCUGACCAUUGGAGCAUUCACGCCUUUUAUUUUGUUGUAGCUGGGAUGUUGCUAGAGUGGUUGAAUUUUAUUUCAUCUACUUAACUAAAUUGGUGUUCUGUAGUACUAUCAUUUUAGCCAUGAAUGUGUUACCAUUUGUCUUGGUCAUUAAGAAUUUGUUUUGAGUUCUAUAUUCUGCUUCUUGCUGGUCCAAAAUAUUUCAGUAUGCUGCUCUGCCGAUUAGAAGUGUGCUGUUCUUUAGAACAUACUUACACCAAGACUCUGGAGUAAAUUUGGUGGAUUACUAGCAUUUGCUAGCAAUUUAUCAGGCCGUCUUGUUCAUUGCAUUCAAUGUAUAUAAUUUCCCUCACUAUCUUUUCCAGUUAUGCUUGCUGCUAAGGAAUGGUUGCUCCUUUCAUCAUUGUGGUCGCCCGUGCUGUAUCACCAUCAGAUCCUGUGUCUAUAUUUUGUCUUGCUCGACGAGUUAUCCAGCAAUACUAGUGCAUAGUAGAAAAUUAUCAUAGAUCCUGGCUGUAACCUGCUUUCGUGCUUUUGACUUUGGCCUGCAUGAUUUUGUGGGGAUGUGGUACCAGACUAGAGGGUAGAGGCUGACGAUUUCUUGCUGUUUCAGUCAAGUGCUGUUCUUGGUGGAGUUGCGCCUCCGGUGCGCUCUUCGGGCUGCUCGGAGCCAUGCUGUCAGAGCUCUUCAUCAACUGGGCCAUCUACACCAACAAGGAGGGUGCAUCUCCAACCAAUUCUGCAGCGGUAGCAGCACCAGCAGUACUUCGUUCUGAAAAUCCGUCAAGUUUCUCUGGAAUUUGGUUAACCUUGUUGAAAUUAUAUGCUCUGGAAUUUGUGAUUCUGUGCACAACCAGUGGAUUGCUGCAUGAUUUUGUAAGUUUAUUAUGACAUGUGACAGUCCAAAGCACUUUUAUUGACUACACAAAUCAAACUGAGAAACGCACAUUGAUAAUGUGUACUUCCACUUGAACAUGGCCUAAAUUCAUAUGCUACUGAGAUGGUUCCAUGUAGAUUUAGAUUCUGUAAAUUCUAUAACCUAGUGAUGCCCUUGUCUUAUUACAUUGAUUAAAGGAAGUGAACUAGUUUGUUACUGAGCUGACAAAGAGCCGAGCUUCUAGAUUGUAUCUGACUUCAGGUGCUUAUGAAGGCGGCUGAUUUUUUUCAUGGUCUAAUUAAAAUUGUACCAUAAUUCUUUUACCCAUUUUUCAUUUUCGUUUUGCCAUUUGCUUGCGUAUGUGCCCUAUGGGUUAGUGUUGUUGAUCCCUAGCAUGAGCUUGGUUGCCCUGAACUUCAGAAUUCUAUUUUCUUGCUUCUCAGUCCCUCUCCCUCCCUGCAGGUGCUACCGGACGCAAGGGUGGAGAAUGCGCCUCCUUGCCGAAGCUUCUCGCUCUAGCGGUCUGGUGCUGGUGAUCUCAGCCCGUAUAGAUGGAUUGGCCAGCAGCUGUGUAUACGGCAGCGGUGCUGCUGUACUACUACACCUAUGAUCCAAUCUAAAGUGCUGGUCCCAAGACUCUGAACUAGCCAAGAAGCAGGAGAGGACGAGAGAGCAACUUCGCUGUGUGCAGCAGCCCUACAAACCCUUUCUACUAUGACCUGAUGAAGCCAUGAUGCUUACCUCGCUGGAGCGUAUCAACCCUAGCCAUGGUACCACAUUCUUAGUCAUGAGGUCACUGUGCUACAACCACAACAACGAUAUCUUCUCCAGUUAGAUAAGUCUUCGGUCUAUCCCAUUAUUUUCUGUUACUUGGUUUUGAGAUGCUUAUUUUGGGACGAAGGGAGUAUUAUUGUGUCGAUUCCCUAUGUGAUAUAGAAGCUAUGGUAUUUUGUUUUGAGUCUGUUGUAAUUGAUAAUGAUUUGUGUAAAAUUAGUGUAGAACAUAUGUCCUGUUAUCUUAAGUCAUUUGUGCAUGCUCAAUGAACCAUCUGAGAUUGAAUCAUUUUUUGCGUUCAACAUCUAGAACCAUUCUGUCCGUGUUGGUAUUCAUGCUACAACUGUGCUUUCUUGUCUCUUGUGUUGCGUGGUCCUUGUGGUUGUUACUGUUACAUGUACAUAUGCUUCAUGAUUCAGUCCCUAGCUGCUUUGUAUGUUUGUUUUUAUUCUGUUUCUAACUCCUUUUGUUUAUUGUUAGAUGCCUUUGUUCAGCCUCUGCAAACAAGAGCUCCAACCUGAAAGUGAAGAAAGCAGAAGUAUACCUGUAGAGCUAGUUAUAUGUUGUGAUAGUAUCUUGGUGAAAUGUACUAUGUAAAGAUUGUGCUAUUAGCCAAAAUUGGCAUGUGUAUUGAUAAUUUCCAUCUGUUAACUGUUCUCAAUGAAAUAUUGCUUCAAAUUAUGGAAA